rnacentral:rRNA from 1 species
AUACGGAGGAUGCAAGCGUUAUCCGGAUUCAUUGGGUUUAAAGGGUGCGCAGGCGGAAUGAUAAGUCAGUGGUGAAAUCCUACGGCUCAACUGUAGAACUGCCAUUGAUACUGUCGUUCUUGAGUACACUUGAAGUGGGCGGAAUGUGUCAUGUAGCGGUGAAAUGCUUAGAUAUGACACAGAACACCGAUCGCGAAGGCAGCUCACUAAAUUGUAACUGACGCUCAGGCACGAAAGCGUGGGGAUCAAACAGGAUUAGAUACCCUGGUAGUCCACGCCGUAAACGAUGAUCACUCGAUGUUGGCGAUACACUGUCAGCGUCUAAGCGAAAGCAUUAAGUGAUCCACCUGGGGAGUACGGCCGCAAGGUUGAA